rnacentral:rRNA from 1 species
AACGAACGCUGGCGGCAGGCCUAACACAUGCAAGUCGAGCGAACCCUUCGGGGUUAGCGGCGGACGGGUGAGUAACGCGUGGGAACGUGCCCUUUGCUACGGAAUAGCCCCCGGGAAACUGGGAGUAAUACCGUAUGUGCCCUUCGGGGGAAGAUUUAUCGGCAAAGGAUCGGCCCGCGUUGGAUUAGGUAGUUGGUGGGGUAAUGGCCUACCAAGCCGACGAUCCAUAGCUGGUUUGAGAGGAUGAUCAGCCACACUGGGACUGAGACACGGCCCAGACUCCUACGGGAGGCAGCAGUGGGGAAUCUUAGACAAUGGGCGCAAGCCUGAUCUAGCCAUGCCGCGUGAUCGAUGAAGGCCUUAGGGUUGUAAAGCUACUUUCAGAUGGGAAGAUAAUGAUGGUACCCAUCAGAAGAAG